ensembl:misc_RNA Metazoa_SRP Metazoan signal recognition particle RNA
GCUGGGCGUGGUGGUGGGCGCCUGUAAUCCUGGCUACUCAGGAGGCUGAGGCAGGAGACUCGUUUGAACCCAGGAGGUGGAGGUUGCAGUGAGCUGAGAUGGUACCACUGCACUCCAGCCUGGGUGACAAAGUGAGACUCUGCCUCAA